UUAUUGGAUGAUAUAAUCUCUGUUGAACAGAGUGCUUUUAUCCCGGGUAGGAUGAUUACAGAUAAUGCUCUGGUUGCUUUUGAGUGUUUACACUAUAUUAAACAGGAGAAAGACCCCACAAGGAGUUUUUGUGCUUAUAAGCUGGAUCUGUCAAAAGCUUAUGAUCGGGUGGAUUGGGUUUUCUUGGAGCAAGUGAUGCAAAAGUUAGGGUUCUCUCAGCGAUGGAUUGACUGGAUAAUGGUGUGUGUCACAUCGGUGAAGUACUCAGUAAAAUUAAAUGGAACUCUCUUGGAUUCAUUUGCACCGUCGCGAGGGGCUGCGGCAAGGUGA
rnacentral:rRNA from 1 species